rnacentral:rRNA from 1 species
GGAGGAUUCAAGCGUUAUCCGGAUUUAUUGGGUUUAAAGGGUGCGUAGGCGGGAUGCCAAGUCAGCGGUAAAAAUGCGGUGCUCAACGCCGUCGAGCCGUUGAAACUGGCGUUCUUGAGUGGGCGAGAAGUAUGCGGAAUGCGUGGUGUAGCGGUGAAAUGCAUAGAUAUCGCGCAGAACUCCGAUUGCGAAGGCAGCGUACCGGCGCCAGACUGACGCUGAGGCACGAAAGCGUGGGGAUCGAA